ACGGAAGGCAGCAGUCGGGAAUAUUGCGCAAUGGAGGAAACUCUGACGCAGUGACGCCGCGUAUAGGAAGAAGGUUUUCGGAUUGUAAACUAUUGUAGACAGGGAAGAUACAAGACAGUACCUGUAAAGUAAGCUCCGGCUAACUAUGUGCCAGCAGCCGCGGUAAUACAUAGGGAGCAAGCGUUAUCCGGAAUUAUUGGGUGUAAAGGGUGCGUAGACGGGAAUUUAAGUUAGUUGUGAAAUCCCUCGGCUCAACUGAGGAACUGCAACUAAAACUGGAUUUCUUGAGUGCGGGAGAGGAAAGUGGAAUUCCUAGUGUAGCGGUGAAAUGCGUAGAUAUUAGGAGGAACACCAGUGGCGAAGGCGACUUUCUGGACCGUAACUGACGUUGAGGCACGAAAGUGUGGGGAGCAAACAGGAUUAGAUACCCUGGUA
rnacentral:rRNA from 1 species